rnacentral:rRNA from 1 species
GCUUGUCUCAAAGAUUAAGCCAUGCAUGUCUAUGUAUAAACAAGUAUACUGUGAAACUGCGAAUGGCUCAUUAAAUCAGUUAUAGUUUAUUUGAUAGUACCUUACUACUUGGAUAACCGUGGUAAUUCUAGAGCUAAUACAUGCUAAAAAACCCAGACUUACGAAUGGGUGCACUUAUUAGAUAAAGCCAACGCUGGGUAAAACCAGUUUCCCUUGGUGAUUCAUAAUAAUUAAGCGGAUCGCAUGGCCUUGUGCUAGCGACAGUCCACUCGAUUUUCUGCCCUAUCAUGGUUGAGAUUGUAAGAUAGAGGCUUACAAUGCCUACAACGGGUAACGGGGAAUUAGGGUUCGAUUCCGGAGAGGGAGCCUGAGAAACGGCUACCACAUCCAAGGAAGGCAGCAGG